UGCUUGUCCUCCCCUCAGCUGCUCACUGGGGGUGGGAGCAGCAUUUGGGGCAAGAGGAGACAGUGGUGGGGCGAGCAGGCCUCGGCCUGGCAGGCCCCAGCUCUGGGACAGGGGGAGGGUGGCAACAGGGCCCUGCCCAGCUGUGUGAGGAGGCCGCCUCGGUUACUCGCUGAGUAAUGCCGUAUGCCAUUAAAUCAGCCCACACGAGACAAAUUUGUGCUCUGGAUGAUUUUGCUUUGCCAGCAUGGUUGAGCGGAGGUACAAACAGAGACAAACAGCCUCUUUCCCUGUAAUUUUUCUCUGUGUGGUAGAUGAGACCUGAAAAAAUAAACACGCGUGUUUCCCUAUGGGCAAUGAUGUUCCUCUAACCGGUGCUUUUGUUUGCCAGCUGUAACACAUCCCUUCCGGCCCGCUGCCUUGCUGUUGUCACUGUGAUCCCUAUUGCAUUUCUUCGGUACUGCCCUGCAGUAGGGUGGGAAGGUUUCCAGCUUGCUCCAGCCUCAGUUAAGCAGUUUUUGAUAUCUUUGCUGGCACCAGCAGCUGUUUGCAAGAAUGAGGCAUAGGUAGAAGCCAGACACCAUUGAGAGGCCUCAAGAGCCUCAGUCUGGUCUGCUUCGCUCUGCUUGGGGGUGUGCUUGGCAGCUCUUCAGACAGCUGGGAUGUCUGUCUUCUUUUCCAGGCAAUUUCAACCAACUUGCACAAGCCAGAGUAAUUGCAGAUGUAAUAACAAGAUACAAUAUCACCGCUACGCGGUUCGACUUGUUUGCUGUUUCGAGACGUGGCAAUCGUAUGGCUGAGCAGCAUGCACCAGCUGAGCGGCCUCGUGGCACGGCGCGGUGCCGGACCAGCUGCUGCCUCUGCUGUUGUGUGCCUCGCUGGAGAUGUAAGGGCUGUGGGAAGAUGUACGAUGAGCUGGUGGUUAGAGGAGACAGGACGCAAAUUCACAGGAAAUAAUGUUUAAUUGGUUUUCCUGUUCCUGGGAUGCCAUUCUUUACAAAACUUCUUCUGAAGAGCCCUUGUAAAGAAUUGCAUGGAUUUUGCAUGAAAAAGAAAGCACUUCUCCUGGAGGAAGUAAGCAGAGAGAGAGAAUGGCCAAAAGUGAUAAACCGCUGUGUUAGAGAGCCAGUAACCCUCAGUGAUGGAAUCCUUCUGCUUGUCAUAGGCAAGUGCUUUAAAACUUUUAUCCCAUAGCUUCUUAGAGCACAUAUCCUUCAUCGCCCCUCCUUACAGCUGUCACCUGCAACAGAGAGCCCAGAGAUCUUAGAAAAAAUCACCUCUACAAACAGCACCCAUGAGUAACUAGAAAGCACAAAGAAAAUUCAUGUGGCCAUUGCUUAUAGUGAUCAGUUCUCUCCAGCAAUAGCUGUAAAUCAGUGCUUUCACACUAGCAUUUCUUACCAAAAGCUUUCUUUCAAAAGAAAUCUUAGGCAUGGAAAUGAGGGUAAAAUGCUUGAUGUUCCCAAAGGUUUUAGAGCACUCAGUUCCUUCUAAAAUUUAUGAAUUUUGGGCCUACAAGUCCCUUAUGUGGCUUUGAACAUCCCACUUGACUAAUAUUUAAACUGCUGAAGUUUAUCGCAGACCCCAGGAGAGCACUGGCAAGACCUCCUGGGAUUUGAGAAUACCAGGAGCUGGCAAGAAGGAAGAUUCAUUCCUUCUUUAUAUAUAUGAAAUGUU
ensembl:lncRNA